rnacentral:tRNA from 1 species
GGGGAUGUAGCUCAGUCUGGUUAGAGCAAUGGCACGGGGUUCAUGGUCGCAGGUUCAACUCCUGUCAUCUCCA